GGAGCUUAAAUGAAGAGGGUCGAAAACGUCAUUUGCAUCAGCUCCUUAAACUUCAGAGAAUCACCUGAUCAGUACAAAAAUACUGACGCACAUAUGAGUGAGAUCGCAUCGAGGCACUAGUGCCCCAUAUAACCGCCAGGACCACCAUACUGCCCAACACCAUGCUGCCCUCCUCUUCCAGUUCCACCCUGUCCCAUCUGUUGGUUUGGAUAUCCACCCUGCACACCGCUUUGACUUCCAUAUCCAAUCACCCCAGGGCUUAUAUUUGCUUGACUCCCAUACCCACUUUGUACUCCAGGUCCUGCGCCUUGCACAGCUGGAUUCAG
rnacentral:misc_RNA from 1 species